CGGGCUCCAGAGUGUCCCCACGUCACAGCUGCAGCCCAGCGUCGGCCUGCCCCGGAGCGUGUUGGAAAUCCGCGGGCUCAGACCCGCCCAGACCCGCGUGGGGCUCCGCGUGUCCGCCGGACGCAGCUCUGUGGCGUUACCGUGGACGUGAGACAGAAGGCCCAACUGGUGACUGUGCUCGUGUGUGUCCGCGUGAAACCGUCCCCACGGUCAGAACGGUUCCAACCAACAAAACCGGUACCUCCCAGAGUGGAACUACGGACUAACCAGCAGAAUCCAGUAAAUCCUGACUUUCUGGGCUAACACAGGGCUCGGGACUUCGGGCUCCUCGUGGAACCAUCUGCCAGCUCAAGCCAACCGGCUAGAUGCCAGACAGAGAAGCCCAUUACACCAGGCAGCUCCAAUGCAAGCCUCCUCUCCGGGAGGAACUUCGUGUGAACAGCAAAAAGGCCAUGAAGAACCCAGCGUUCAGCAGGCACCGCACCCGUGUCCUCCUCCCCACAGCCACUGCCCAUCUUCCCUGGAUCCCCCCCCCCCAUCAAAGCUGUAAAAAAAAUUUUUCCCGUUUAAAGACCCAGUUGGAUUUCACUUAGAGACUCAUGAGUCUGGCAGCAUCGAAUCCGGCCGAUAAAAAGAAACACCAAAGAUCUGAUGUCGGAGAAGGAAGCAGAACAGGGAGAGGCUGGGCAGCUGCGGACGGGUCUGUCCACUCUGACCUGCGACGUGUGCAGAGCUCCCCAGCACAGUGAGUUCUGAACAUGGACGUCCCUCCAACACCUCCGUGGUCUACUCCGACUGGAGGCCCCGCUGGCACUCUGUGUCUGCUUGGACAUGGGGUGUCUCCUGGGAUCCGCAGAGGUGUCUGCACGGAGCUGCACUGGCUCCCCAGUAACCUAUUUGUGUCUGAUCUGACGUGGGGUGUCCUCGUAAUUCCCCUGGUCUGUCUAUACGGACCUGGAUUAUCUCCUUGAUUACCCAGGAAUGUCUAACUCACAGCUGAUUCGACAUGGGUCUUCUGUGUGUCGUUCAUAACCCCAGUGUCCUCUCGGGGCCGGGACGGCUGCCUUCUCAUCAGUGUGAGUCUGAUCUGGGAUGUAUCCGAUUCACCAAAGUGUCUUCAUUGACCUUGGAUCUCCCCUAAUGCCCCAGGUUUUUUCUGCCUUGACCUGAAAUGUUCCCUUGGUUCUCCACAUGUGUCCAUCCUAACCCUGCAUCUUCUCAGAGAAUAUUCUCUGACCGGGUAUGUGCAUGUACAGCCCAGUCGUGGGCAUGAGCGGGUCUCUAAUCCCAGCUGUUCCUGUUAUGACCGGGUUUAUCUCCCUAAUUCUUCAGGGUAAAUACACUGACCUGGUCUGUGUAAUUCCUCAAGUUUGUGUCCACUGAGGGACUCCUCUGUGCCCCUCAGGAAGGCUCCCUCUUUGCUCAUCGUAUCCUGCUCUGGCACAUCUCGUCCAUUCCACAGCUCUGUCUACCCUGACGUUCGUGUCUCCGUAGUUCCCGAGACGCAUCUGAAGUGACCUGAACUGGUCACGACUUCCCCGUGUGUGUACCGGGAGUGGUGCGCCGCUUCUGUCCGCACUGACCUGGCAGUCCCCUCCCCAAGUGUGUCAACACCAGCGUCCUACGAUUCCGUGGAUCCCAGCUUCAUCUGCCUGCGCUGGCCUGGAAGGUUCCACGGACUCCCCCGAUGUCUACACUGACCUGCUGUGUCUGCCGUGGCCUGGGAAGUCCAGCAACUCACGUUCGUCUGUUCUGCUUUGGGAUGUCGUGGAGUCCCUGACCAUAACGACUCUUGAACCCGCCACAUUCCCAGCCCGACUCGGGAUCUCUGCCCGGACACGCACGUGCGUCUGCGCUGAUG